ensembl:ncRNA lncRNA:CR45583 long non-coding RNA:CR45583
AAAUAUGUCAAGCAUGAAGAACUGAUAAGCUAGAAAUAGGAUUGGAUGGGAUUCAAUCCCAGACCCAACCUCGCAUAGAAAGUUCUAAAAAAUCAUCCGAUUUAUGUGGCAUACUUUCGGGCCGGACAACCAGAAACACUUCACUAACGGCCAACACCCUCAUUUACAAAUUACAAAAUACACCUGCGUUCCCAUCCAGCAGCCCUCUUUUCAAUUAGCCUAAAACCCGUGCACUAAAAGUGCAGAAAAAAUGAACUGUUUAAUGCCUUUUAUACCACUCAUAAUUCGCAUAAUGACAGGACAUCUUUCUCAUUCCUCCCCCUCCACUGACAAUCCUCUAAUUUGGCCAGCAGCAGACCGUCGCGACGGCGAUGAGCAAACAACAGACGCAGCUGACCACUCCCGGAUGCACUUCAACUUUCCACCCUGUUGCGUACAAUCAAUGGCCAGCACAAGGACACCGUACAGCCGAAAGCCCGAAAAAAACCCCGUACGGAUACGGAUGGAUCUCCCUCGUCGAUGUUGAUGCCACACGACCAUUUCGACCGUACGCCCGUCGUCAUCGCGUUCGGAUUGUUGCAAAAGUGCGAAACCGCAAAUGUUAAACGCAACACACAAGUCAAUUCCGCCGCCGCCCACCCAAAGGCCCAAAAAGCGAACCCACGGUGACAACCGCAACCAGGCCACAAAGCUCUUCAAUUUGCUUGCCAUCUAUUAUGGUAGCUCAUUGUGGGAUUACCGCACAGCCCGAACCCAAACCCCAGUCCGAGCCCAAACUCAAACCCAUGGACAAGCCGCAGUGAAAACCCCGUAAAACCACCCCCACCCAAUGUGGAUGCGGAAACCCAGAAGAGAAGGCCGCACCACCGACGCGUUUGCGCCUGGUCGGUGAGGAAUUGCUAAU